CUUGUCACACAUGUGAGGUUUCUCUGUGCUGUGUGUCUUCAUGUGCUGUGUCAGGCGUUUCUGCAUGGGAUAUACGCGACCGCAGAUGGGACAUGUAAACUCGGACACUUUAGGAACCUACGUGCUCAAUUCUUACUUGGUUUUGUUGUGGACAGCUGAGUGUCGGAUCACGUCUUUCUUAUAAACACUGGAGUAAUCACACAUCUCACAUUUGUAUGGUUUUGUACCUUCGUGAUUGAACAUGUGCUCCUAUAGGACACAUACAUCACCUUUAUAGUUAUAUACAUUUAUUCUGACAUUAGCACGUAUUAUACAAACAUUUAAAUUACAUUAAAAAUCACUCUUUAAACGUUUCUUUAACUAAUGAUUAUUUAUGGAUUGUCAGAUGAAGGACUCUACUUCUUACCUUUAGUGAGGACCACCGUUUGCAGCGGUAGCUGCACUGCAGGCACUUAAAGCAUUCAGGGUCAUUUCCCUCAUGAGAAUCCACAUGGAAUCUGAGAUCGUCUUGUGAAAGAAAGCGAGAGCCACAGAUCCAGCAAUUAUGAGGUCUUAGUAGAGGUUUAAGGGAUCUGUAGUACUUGCUUAAAUAAAAAAAGAAGAUAAAUAAAACUUUGAGAUCACAGAUCACAGAAUGUGUUUUAAAUGGGUUAUAAGGCUUUCUAAGAUAUAAUUUUGUGUCAGACGAACAGGAAAAAUUAAUCAAAUGUUGUGGAUGAGUACAGGUACUACUAACUUGCGAUUCAUGUACUUUUUGUACUUCUUUUGAAGGAAUCGUUUAGAUGGUCUGCCUCUUUUUUUGGGCAAAAACUCCAGGUCAUCAGGGCCUGUGUUUGAUGAGGGAUCUUUGUUUUCUGAAUCUGACUGGCUGAUGGCUGGUUCGACUGCUGACCCGUUGGAUAGUGAGGAAGAUCCAUUCUCCAAUCCUGACGAACUUGCUUCUUCUGGAGCUUGAGGGUCCUCCACAUUUCUUGUUUGAGUUGCUGCUGGUGACUCUGUUUUAGACACAGACCUGAAAUGCUGAAUUAACACUGACCUGAGUCAAGAAGGAAUUUGCGGGGUGGCCCCACCGUCCUACGGGGCCGUUUCCGUGAGGUAGAGGAAGAUGAUGAAGAGCAGGAAGGAGGAGGAG